AACAAACCUCAAGCCUGGCUUGGUAUUGGGCCCUGGGACCAUCCCGGACCCCAAAUGCGUCGGCUAUUGAUUAGUAAAUGGGAGUGCUGUAGCGGGUGCCGUAACGACUUACUGGCGCGAAGCUCGUACCGCCCUGCCUUGCGCGUUCGCAUCGGUCACCGACCGAACACAA
rnacentral:misc_RNA from 1 species